AUGAACGCUGGCGGCGUGGAUAAGGCAUGCAAGUCGAACGCUCCGACGCAAGUCGGAGAGUGGCGAACGAGUCAGUAACACCUUGGUACAUACCUCGAAGUGGAGCAUAGCCAGUCGAAAGAUUGGGUAAUUCUCCAUGUGCUCGUAAGAGCAAAGUUGCAAAACGCUUUGAGAUUGGCCUAGGCCCGAUCAGCUUGUUGGUGAGGUAAUGGCUCACCAAGGCUACGACCGGUAGGGGUGCUGAGAGGCAGUUCCCCGACGACGAGACUGAGACACGGCUCGUACACCUACGGGUGGCAGCAGUCGAGAAUAUUCCACAAUGGGCGAAAGCCUGAUGGAGCGACGCCGCGUGCAGGAAGAAGGCCUUCGGGUUGUAAACUGCUUUUCUACAGGAAGAAUUCCGCCUCGUGCGGUAUGACUGUACUGUAGGAAUAAGAGGUUGCUAACUCUGU
rnacentral:rRNA from 1 species